GUUGGUUUGGACACAUUCGCAUCAGUUCAUCGCUCAAUCGCGAGUUACAGUCUGCUAGCUAGCGAAGUCAUCGACUACCAUCGUUUAAAUACCUUGGCCAGAGCAUAACCGAUUAUCUUCACCCAAGAGACCUACUGUUGGUCAAUCGUUUUGGUUUUAAAGAAGUUGCAUUGAUUCCAGAAAGCCAGGAAAAUGUUGAGCCAUCUGUAGACUUCAGAGUUGGUUUCUCCCUAGUAAUCCAGACUCCACUUCAGAGCCAAGAGUUUGAGUACAAGGCACUUGACUUUCUGGAUAAAAGGUGUGGAGUUCAUCAAGUACUAAACUUUACACCCCCAGCAGAAAAUGUACCCAGGCAGCAAAUGGGUGAAAAGGCUGGAGGAGAAAGUCAUCGCUCCGUUAUUGGCCCUUGGACUCCCCUGGCAUCGCAUGUACAGCAUGAAGUUUUCAGCAAUGAAGGUAUAUUCUAGGCCUAUGUCCUAAUGUCCAGUUUUUUAACAGUUUUGAAAAUAACUGUGCCUUUAGUUUUCCAGAACGAGAACCAAGCCCUGAGGGAGGAGAACCAAGCCCUGAGGGAGGAGAACCAAGCCCUGAGGGAGGAGAACCAAGCCCUGAGGGAGGAGAACCAAGCCCUGAGGGAGGAGAACCAAGCCCUGAGGGAGGAGAACCAUGCCCUGAGGGAGGGGAGCCAUGCACGAGCAGCUUCGGGUGACAGCGGCUCGCUUCAAGAGCAGGUGAAGCUAUUUGGGACAAUGCUGAAGAUGUUUGCUCGCACUGGGCAAUCAGGUUCAACUUGCAAACAACACCUGUGGUUGUUGAUUUAAUUCCCACUGGGUCCACAUGUGCAGAUCAGACCCUAGUGCUGCGACGUCUUGGAGAGUUUGGCGAUGUUGUGCGUAGCAUGGAAAACAAAAUGGACACUAUGCUGCAACAUUUCAGUGCCAAUGUGUCUGUUGGAGAGCUAUCCCUGCCAGGGGAUGUUACUCCCCCUAGACACCCAGGAAGAUUUGGUGUUUCUUGACAGCAUUUUGAGGGAGGAUAAAGAGCUCCAGGAACGAUUUCUUCGGUUUUUGGCUAUCAAAUGUGGGAGGGACCUGAAGACAACAGUGUGGAGAAUGCUUCAGAGUAUUUUCUCUAAUAACCUUGC
ensembl:lncRNA